GCAUACGGCCAUACCAGCCUGGGUACGCCCGAUCUCGUCUGAUUUCGGAAGCGAAGCAGGGUCGGGCCUGGUUAGUACUUGGAUGGGAGACCGCCUGGGAAUACCAGGUGCUGUAAGCA
rnacentral:rRNA from 1 species